UGAAGGAACCGGAAAUCAGUACAGCCUCGUGCUUCGUAACGUCAAGAUGUAUAAGUCCGCAUGUCUUCUCCUUCUACUUGUCAGUUGUUUGCAACUGGAGAAAGUGUCUGGUCGUCAUUCGCCGAAAGCAGGCGCCGACGACAGCCCCAAAAGACAGCCGGGGCUCAGAGACUCCACUCGAGAAAGCUUCCUU